AAUACCAGUUUACUUGGAUUCACAAGAAUCACAGCAUGGUGAACUACACAUCAUAGCAUGCUUCCAGUGACCCUAACCGUCUCUAAUCCGGGUGCACCCUGUACGGAGCACUGAGUGCAAAGGCGGGGAAUGUACGUCUAAGCUGGGAGAGAAAACUCUCACCCGAGGCCUCCAUGACCCCUAUUUGCUCCUGCGUUGCUCUCUACUUCCCUUCAUGAUACAGCCAUUUCCACCAAAGCCUCAGACUGGGAGGUUCAAGGUUCAGAUUCUGGAGUCCUGACCCUUGACUGCUCCCUAGUUCUACUUACUACUGGUGACCUUGAACAGAUUUAAGCUCUGAAGAGGUGUUCUAGAAUCUUCUGUGUUCUGUAAGUCACAGGAAAGAGGAAAUGAGCCUGUUUCUUGCAGUCCUCAAGACAGAAAUGGCAAUUUUAGCUGUAAAUGACAGCUCCUUCACAGGGUUUAUUAGAAAGAAGAGCC